rnacentral:tRNA from 1 species
ACCCAGCUAGCUCAAUCAGUAGAGCACGAAACUUUUAAUCUCAGGGUUGUGGGCUCAAGUCCCACAUUGGGCA